GUGAAUUUAUUAAUCAGAUCAUGGCUCGCUAGGCGGGCGCCCAUGCUCCUGGCUCCUUCCCUUUGUGGCCCCGCUGGCUCACGCAUACAUAUGGAGCGUACAGAUGGGGAAAUUGAGGUAAACAGGAUGAAGUGACUCGUCCAGCAUCAUACAACUAAUACAUCUCUAACGACAAAUUUGAACUCAGGAAGAUACUUUCUAGACUCUAUCCACGUUGCCACCCAACUGUCCAAUUGAAUUGAAUUGAAUGAAAUCUCAGUAGCUGGUGAGAUCAACUGGGAGACAACUAUCAACCCCUAGGACUUCCUUCCUAUUUCUCCAUCAUUUGAAGAGCCAAUCCUGUGGUUUCCAUGCCCUUGGUCUUUCUCAGGACCUGCACAUGUGGAAGGGAUUCAGGUGGGAGAGGGAAGGGGACGCAAAUCAGCAAUGUGUCCCAAAAGAGAGAAGUAUUUGACAAAGUUCUUGAAAUUUUUACUUUAAGAUUUCCCAUAGAGAACGUUGUACACAGUAACAGCAAGAUUCUGUGAUGAUCAACUGAUGGACGUGGCUCUUCUCAGCAAUAUGGUGAUUUAAAAGCCAUUUCAAUAGUAUUGGGGUGGAAAAUGUUAUCCAAUGAGACAACUAUGGAGAUUGAAUGUAGAUUGAAGCAUAGUAUUUUCGCCUUUGUUUCUCAUGUUCUCAUGUUUAUUCCCCUUUUUGGUCUGAUUUUUCUUGCACAACAUGAUUAACAUGGAAAUGUUUAAAAGGAUUGAACAUAUUAAAUUUUAAAAAAAAUUAAAGAUUAUUUAAAGUAUGGGAGCAGUGUGUGUGUGUGUGUGUGUGUGUACCACUGAGGGUCCAAUCCUCACACCGUAUCUAAUAUCCAUUUAGAAGCUUAGCGAUCUUUCUUCUAGAAAUAUGUAAAGGAAAACCGUCUUAAUCCUCCUUACUUAAAAGUAAGUGAAAGUAUUCUCUAAUUAUUUCCUGUUGGCUUACUGUGUGAUUACAAAAAGCCUUUUAAGGUCUGCUGAGGCUGAACCCAGUGUGCAAACUAAAGUCUCAAACAUAAACACUCUCUUGCCUGGAUGUAAACAAAAUAAGAACUGCUGUGAGCUGCUAGAUGUAGCUUACUCUCCCUUCCUUACCUGGUCACCCUGUGGCUGUGAAUGCAUGCGAGUGUGUUUCUUCUAUUUCUAUUAUGCUUGCUUGAACUUGAGGGAAUGAGUAGUGGAUAGGAAAUGGACCACAUUAUGACCUUGUGAGCUUCAAAAGUUUGGAAGAGGUAAACAGUAUUCUUUACAGUUAUUUUUAAAGGAAGUUCUCUUUCUAUCUUUUGCUGUCAGACUUUGUUGGUAACAUACAGAAAUGCCAGUGAUUUAUGUGGAUUUAUUUUGUAUCCUACAAACAGUACUCUCAGUGAACAAAACUAGAAGCAGUAGUAAUCUAGGUUAGGGAUUACUACUGCUUCUGGAGAAUUCAGCUGAGAUCUCAAACUUUAGCUUUGGUAAUUAACUGGAUAGUGACAAGAGAAUGUCUGGCUCAACUUUAUUGCUUUUAUUAACUUAAGAUGAACAGCAUAUAACUAGCUAGAGUUCUGGUGUUAAUAGUUAUUUUGCAAAUUUCAGCUUUACCCCUAAUGUUUACUGAUCAGUUUAUUUUUUUGCUUUCUAUUCUUUGUUCUUUGAUGGAUAAAUCUUUGCCUUCUGUAAAAUUCCAUCGUGUCCAUUCUGCUCAUGUAACUAAGACCAAUAUAAAGUUGCUGAAAAUGACUGCUCAGAGUCCACUGUAUAUCCUUGGUCUGUUCUCUGAGGGUUUAGUAAAUCAGAUCAGUUUUUUUUUUUUUUAAACGUGAUUCUGCCAAUCAUCCUUAUCAAUGAAUCUUUUGACAACACUAAAUAAAUGCUGGCUAUUAUUAUAGCCAAGUGGGGAAUGAGGGAUCCAAAGCCAUACUGUUUGUCCAAUUUAAAAAAAUAUAUAUAUUUGAAAUUACCACUAACAAUAAACCCAAUGGUUACAACAACAUAUAGUCAUUUCCAUACCCCUAGAUCACUGUCAAAUUCUGAAACAGAAAGACCUAAGAUGCUCAUUUUCUGUGAAAUUCUGGGGACAAAUCACUUGCCAAAUCAUUCAGUUUCCGCAAUUAUAAAACAGUAAUAAUAGCACCACCCCCACAGGCUUGUUGUUAGGAUCAAAUGAGACAAUAUUUGUAAAGCACUUAGUACAGUGCCUAUUCAUAAUAGGUGCUAAUGCUCAUUUUCUUUUUCCCUCCCUUUAUACAGAAGGAAAUUGAAGCCCAGUGUGGAAAAAAGAAAUCACUUAAAUUCAUAUGAAUCAGUGGCAGAUUUGGGACAACAUCCCACAAAUGGACCUCUAGCCUAGUUCUUUCUCCAUUUCCAAGUUUGCAUAAGGGACCAAAUUUGAGUUAUUUCUGGAUUUUGAUGGGAAAAGGCCAUGUAGUGAGUCUCUGAACAUGAUGGUUUCAAAGGACAAGUGAACAAAUCAUCCCAAUCUGGAAAUCAGAAUCCAGUCCAUAUUUACAAUUAAUGCUACAUUGAGCCCAGUGAGCAGUCUUUGUAUUGGCAGAAGAACUCAUUCAACAUCAAUCCCAACUUUGGCCGUGAACUUGCCAGGACCAAUGGUACACAGUAACGGAACUCAUUUUCGAGCUUUAUUUUUCUCCCCAUACCACCCUCUACUGACUAAGGUAGCAUGGUAAGGAUUCUCAGAAAUACAAUGAUCCAAGACAAUUCCAAAGGACUCAUGAUGGAAAAUGUUAUCCAGAUAAAGAAUUGGAGUGUGUGUGUGGAGUGUGGAGUGUGUAUAUGUUUGCUCUUUCUAUGUCUUUGAAGUAAAUAUCCUCUUGUAAAAGUUACCCAGUGUUAAA